CACCUUAAACUCAAAAGCAUUCUCCAGAUCUGCUCACAUUCAUGCAUCCCGAAGCAGUUCCAUGUCUCUUUUGGGGAUUCAGAACUGAUUCAAAUUGGAGUUGGAUCCCUCUCUUGAGAGCCAAAACUGCCAGUAUCUGAGUAAUUGGAUGCAGGUGUGAAGAUAUAACGUCUUUAUGGGGGAAAAACCAACGUAAGAGAGACCCCAAGAGGAAAACGUCCAAACUUAGAAUUUAAAAAAGUCAGAAGCAAACUCAGAAAAUGAGACACCGCUGUGUGAAUGAGGAGAAAAGGCCUUUGGCUGUGCGAGUAAUGGGGAGAAAUACUAUCUCUGUCCGGUCCAUCUAUGGUAUUUCCCCAUCACAUCAAGACUUGCUUCGGACAGUGAUGUGAGGUGCUGCUGUGUUUGACCUUGACAGGAUUAUGGAUCCAGCAAAGAGGCUGAAGAGGGUAAUGGAGGUGAACAUCUCCACUGGGGCACACUGAGACUUUUAUAAGCCAACCACACACAAACGACAAAGAGGGAAAACAGAAAACAGUUGUUGACUUCCAACUUUUGGUUGGUGAAUGGUGUUCAUCUCAGCUGGAAAUGGCACGUUUUUCCCAAUAAGCCUAUUUUGGAAAUAUAUUUAAUAAAAAAAACAUAUUGAGAGUGAUAUGAAGAAGGGAUUAAGCCUUGUAUUAUGUUGCAGGGCUGUUUGACCCGAACUGAUUUUUUGGGGUUUUUGGAAAUACUGGUAAAAAAAAAAGGUCAAAUUCUCAAUAUUUUGUCACUUUUUCGUAUUGAGGAUCAUGAACAUGCACAAAAAGAAAUCUAUUUUAUUUAAAUUUAUGUC